UAGAAUUUUGAUUCCUGCUUCAAGAACGGAACGCCGGACGGCAUGCCCUAACCACAUGCAAAGUCGAAACGAGCCCUUUGGGGUUCUAGUGGCCCCACGGGGUGCGUAACGCCGUGGGAAUUCUGCCCUUGGGGUACGGAAAUAGGCCGGGGGAAACCCCGGGAUUAAAUCCGGAAUAAUGACUUCGGUCCCAAAAUUUAUCGCCCCAAGGGAUGAGCCCCGCGUCGGAAUAAGCUAGUUGGGUGAGGGUAAGGCUCCACCCAAGGGGCGAUCCGUAGCUGUUGAGAGAGGAUGAUCAGCCACACUGGGACUGAGACACGGCCCAGACUCCUACGGGAGGCAGCAGUGGGGAAUAUUGGACAAUGGGCGCAAGCCUGAUCCAGCAAUGCCGCGUGAGUGAUGAAGGCCUUAGGGUUGUAAAGCUCUUUUACCCGGAAGAUAAUGACUUACCGGAGAUAAGCCCCUUA
rnacentral:rRNA from 1 species